rnacentral:rRNA from 1 species
UACGUAGGGUGCGAGCGUUAAUCGGAAUUACUGGGCGUAAAGCGUGCGCACGCGGUUCGUUGUGUCUGCUGUGAAAUCCCCGGGCUCAACCUGGGAAUGGCAGUGGAAACUGGCGAGCUUGAGUGUGGCAGAGGGGGGUGGAAUUCCGCGUGUAGCAGUGAAAUGCGUAGAGAUGCGGAGGAACACCGAUGGCGAAGGCAACCCCCUGGGCUGACACUGACGCUCAUGCACGAAAGCGUGGGGAGCAAACAGG